UACGGGGGGGGCAAGCGUUGUUCGGAAUUACUGGGCGUAAAGGGUGCGUAGGCGGCUUUCUAAGUUGGAUGUGAAAACUCUGGGCUCAACCCAGAGCCUGCAUCCAAAACUGGAGAGCUUGGGUUCUGGAGGGGAAAGCGGAAUUCCUGGUGUAGCGGUGAAAUGCGUAGAUAUCAGGAGGAACACCGGUGGCGAAGGCGGCUUCCUGGACUAAUACUGACGCUGAGGUGCGAAAGCGUGGGGAGCAAACAGG
rnacentral:rRNA from 1 species